UGGAUCCAGACUUUGAUCCUGGCUCAGGAUGAACGCUGGCGGCGUGCCUAAUACAUGCAAGUCGAACGAAACUUCUUUAUCACCGAGUGCUUGCACUCACCGAUAAAGAGUUGAGUGGCGAACGGGUGAGUAACACGUGGGCAACCUGCCCGAAAGAGGGGGAUAACACUUGGAAACAGGUGCUAAUACCGCAUAACCAUGAACACCGCAUGGUGUUUAUGUGAAAGGUGGUUUCGGCCACCGCUUUCGGAUGGGCCCGCGGCGCAUUAGCUAGUUGGUGGGGUAAAGGCUUACCAAGGCAAUGAUGCGUAGCCGAACUGAGAGGUUGAUCGGCCACAUUCGGACUGAGACACGGCCCAAACUCCUACGGGAGGCAGCAGUAGGGAAUCUUCCACAAUGGGCGAAAGCCUGAUGGAGCAACGCCGCGUGGGUGAAGAAGGUCUUCGGAUCGUAAAACCCUGUUGUCAGAGAAGAAAGUGCAUGAGAGUAACUGUUCAUGUUUCGACGGUAUCUGACCAGAAAGCCACGGCUAACUACGUGCCAGCAGCCGCGGUAAUACGUAGGUGGCAAGCGUUAUCCGGAUUUAUUGGGCGUAAAGGGAACGCAGGCGGUCUUUUAAGUCUGAUGUGAAAGCCUUCGGCUUAACCGGAGUAGUGCAUUGGAAACUGGGAGACUUGAGUGCAGAAGAGGAGAGUGGAACUCCAUGUGUAGCGGUGAAAUGCGUAGAUAUAUGGAAGAACACCAGUGGCGAAAGCGGCUCUCUGGUCUGUAACUGACGCUGAGGUUCGAAAGCGUGGGUAGCAAACAGGAUUAGAUACCCUGGUAGUCCACGCCGUAAACGAUGAAUGCUAAGUGUUGGAGGGUUUCCGCCCUUCAGUGCUGCAGUUAACACAAUAAGCAUUCCGCCUGGGGAGUACGACCGCAAGGA
rnacentral:rRNA from 1 species